rnacentral:rRNA from 1 species
AGAAUGAACGCUGGCGGCGUGCUUUACACAUGCAAGUCGAGCGAGGCGGGUAGCAAUACCCAGUCGAGCGGCGAACGGGUGAGUAACACGUGGAUCAUCUACCUUCAGGUGGGGGAGUAACCCGGGAAACUCGGGCUAAUACCGCAUAACAUCGCGAGAUCGAAAGGGGCGCAAGGUCCCCGCCGAGAAGAGGAGUCCGCGUUCGAUUAGCUAGUUGGUAGGGUAAUGGCCUACCAGGCCACGAUCGAUAGCCGGCUGAGAGGUGAUCGGCCACACUGGAACUGAGACACGGUCCAGACUCCGUACGGGAGCAGCAGUGGGAAUUUGCGCAAUGGGCGAAAGCCGUAGACGCAGACAACGGCCGACGUCGGAGGAUGAAAGGUCGUUUAGGAGUUCGUAAACGUUCCUGUU